CUCAGACACUGGCGCAUAGGCAGCGGCGCACAAAUUGCGCAGUUGAGGCGCAGUGGCACUCUUGAUGCAUUACAGGUGAUGCCGUGUUAGAGCGCAGGAAAAAGUUUGUGGAGCUAAACUACCUCGCACACAUAACCCUGUGUGUAAUGGUAUUCUUGCGCAAUAAAUGGCUAAACUCUAUCUGAUGACUCAAACUCCCUGACCAGAGUUCUGCGGUGGUCAAUAACACAAUCACCAGUAACAGGGCGAGAGGGAGAGAGGGAGAGAAAAAGAAAAAGGAGAGCGAUAGAAUAAAGAAGAUUGAGAACGAUGCGUGAUCCCCCUCUGGACAAAAUUAAAGUCAGUGCUCUCUGUCAGCCUGGGCUGCUUCCCAACAAGCCUCCCUCUGCAGCUCUGGAGAUCAGACGGGGAGGGGUGGGAGGCCCGCUGGAGUGAUGGAACAGCCUGAGGUUGAAGUGACACAGUCGAGGCUGGUUAAUUAGAAUUGUGUCAGUGAGUAAAUGUGCUGUGACCUGGACCUGUGCAAGCGCCAUCUCCAGCGCCAUGGACGACCCUUUCAACUGCUUCACUAGAGAUUCUGGAUAGGCCUGUCAACCACUCUAGAGAAUCCAAUGGUGUAGAAGACCCAGGAGAUGAACAAAAAUAGGACUGCAAGCGGAAAAGGAAAUGGUCUAGAAUUUGUCAUAUAGAGAAGACAGAAGGUGCGACGGAGAGAGAAAAAGAGUUGUGUGGGUGUGCAAUAGAGUACCAGGUGGAUGUGGGGAUACUGCACGGCUCAGCGGCCCGCCACCCAACGCCACUCACUUCCCCUCCGAUCCCCAUUCAUCAAGGCCGCACAGGCCACCGACCAAGCACGUCUUCCUAUCAUUACCCCUCUCACAAUGCGAUCCAUGCCGCUAACCCUGCCUUCAUUCCACAGGAUUAAUAAUAUCUCUUUCAACCUUCACACUGUGAUAAAUAGGUGCAAGGAGAACAAAAGAGGAAGAAAGAAAGAAAAGAGACAGACUUAAAGGGGGAGGGAGAGUUUCAUCAAGAACAAUCAGAGCCUGAAUCACUCUGACUACACAUCAGGUUCGAGUAAAAGUAUUACACUCAUAUGUGGGUUUUACAUCACUUCUCGCAUUGUAACGAUCAAACGCAGGAAUCUAACGCAGGAAUCUAACGCAGGAAUCGCCAUUUUUGUCCUUGUGGCUUUACAAACAGUGAGGAAAAUGUUUAAAAGAUCUGUGAAUCACAUUUUAUUUUCCAUUAAAAAAUAAAGCGAAAUGGUCUAGAUGAGGUUAUAAAUCAGCACAUAAAUGUUAUUAACUCUAACCUGUGGCAAACAAAUUUAUUUUUCUACUGUCAUACCCACAGACCACGAUACCUUUAUCACUAGAAUAUUACGGCUCUAUCUCAGGAGUUCCUGCAAUUUCUACAGUAAUUUUUCACUUUCAAUGAAUCUUUUCCUAUUUACAUUUUAGGCUACACAUUGUA